CUACGCCUCGUUCUCUUCUGCGGUGUACGCCGCACUGCUGCUGGCGGCCGUGGCUCGCGAGGCCUGUGUGCUUGGGGGGCUGGCGGCAGCAGGCGGCGGCCCAUCCUCCGCCCGUUGUUGGUCCUGCAUAGCUCUGACUGCCCCAGGCGUUGCAUCUUUUCGCUCUCCCGAAGGUUGUAGAGAGCUCAAGAAAACCUUCUGACGGCUGAGAGCACUUCCCGCGCUGAAACCCCCCUUUUUUUUUUAUUUUCGAAGCACGUUGUCUAAGGGGGUGUCUGCGGAGCCGGGUGGAGGUUGAGGGUGGACACGGAGUCUGGGGUCCGCCCUCUGUCGUAGGCCCCGCCUCCACCGCCUCGGUGCCCGUCACCUCCGGGACCCCCUUGGUGAUGGCGACACACAGUUAAUGGUGAACCUCCGCCGGAAAGAAACUCCCAGAGUUGUCGUGCCUUUGAGCUGUGAGAGUGUGUUGAAGAUCAGUGACUACAGAGGCUAGUGACUUCAUUCUUGUAGAACCAGAUGGUCUCAGCAAUUUACAGAACGCUCCCUCCUUUCCCUCCUUCCACCUGUCAUCUUUGCUUCUGAAUAAGAACCAUUUGUGUAACACCAAUACUUACCUUAAGAAAGACAUGCAUUAUGUGGUUGUAAUCAAACCUGAUGCUUUCAGAUGACCUACUUACAUCUUCAACGUGGAAAAGAUUAAGAACAAAACAAAUUCAUCUAAACUUCUGGGCAAUCCAGUUGACUUUUAAAUGUAAGGAUGGAAUUACAAGCACUUAACACAUUCAGCU